rnacentral:rRNA from 1 species
GUUUAGUAUUUGGUCGUAGACCCGAAACCAGGUGAUCUACCCUUGGUCAGGUUGAAGUUCAGGUAACACUGAAUGGAGGACCGAACCGACUUACGUUGAAAAGUGAGCGGAUGAACUGAGGGUAGCGGAGAAAUUCCAAUCGAACCUGGAGAUAGCUGGUUCUCUCCGAAAUAGCUUUAGGGCUAGCCUCAAGUGAUGAUUAUUGGAGGUAGAGCACUGUUUGGACGAGGGGCCCCUCUCGGGUUACCGAAUUCAGACAAACUCCGAAUGCCAAUUAAUUUAACUUGGGAGUCAGAACAUGGGUGAUAAGGUCCGUGUUCGAAAGGGAAACAGCCCAGACCACCAGCUAAGGUCCCAAAAUAUAUGUUAAGUGGAAAAGGAUGUGGCGUUGCCCAGACAACUAGGAUGUUGGCUUAGAAGCAGCCAUCAUUUAAAGAGUGCGUAAUAGCUCACUAGUCGAGUGACACUGCGCCGAAAAUGUACCGGGGCUAAACAUAUUACCGAAGCUGUGGAUUGUCCUUUGGACAAUGGUAGGAGAGCGUUCUAAGG